CCUGACGGUAGUCGUAUGCUCGUCUCCGAGACUAAGCCAUGCAAGUCCAAGUACACGUCCUUGAACGACGGAAACUGCGAACGGCUCAUUAAAUCAGUUGCGAUCUACUCGGCGUUCCGCGCCGCCGGAUAACCGUAGUAAUUCUAGGGCUAAUACGUGCGAAGCGCCCGAAGCCGCGAGGCGACGGCGUUCUCGCCGGAUGUAGGAACCGACCCGGGGACCGCCGGGGGCAACCCCGGCGCCCCCGAGACGGGGCGAACCACGGUGAAAUGACGGAUCGUCGGCCCCGCGCCGGCGACUCGCCGAAUGAGUUUCUGACCUAUCAACUCGAGACGGCGGGGUAGAGGCCCGCCGCGGUAACGACGGGUAACGGGGAAUCAGGGUUCGAUUCCGGAGAGGGAGCCCGAGAAACGGCUACCACUUCCAAGGAAGGCAGCAGGCGCGCAACUUACCCUAAUCUCGAUUCGAGGAGGUAGUGA
rnacentral:rRNA from 1 species